rnacentral:rRNA from 1 species
CAGCAGCCGCGGUAACACGAAGGGUGCAAGCGUUAAUCGGAAUUACUGGGCGUAAAGCGUGCGUAGGCGGUUUGUUAAGUCUGUUGUGAAAUCCCCGGGCUCAACCUGGGAAUGGCAAUGGAUACUGGCAAGCUAGAGUGUGUCAGAGGAUGGUGGAAUUCCCGGUGUAGCGGUGAAAUGCGUAGAGAUCGGGAGGAACAUCAGUGGCGAAGGCGGCCAUCUGGGACAACACUGACGCUGAGGCACGAAAGCGUGGGGAGCAAACAGGAUUAGAUACCCGGGUAGUCCCUGUCUCUUAUAC